rnacentral:rRNA from 1 species
GACGAACGCUGGCGGCGUGCUUAACACAUGCAAGUCGAACGGAAAGGCCCUGCUUUUGUGGGGUGCUCGAGUGGCGAACGGGUGAGUAACACGUGAGUAACCUGCCCUUGACUUUGGGAUAACUUCAGGAAACUGGGGCUAAUACCGGAUAGGAGCUCCUGCUGCAUGGUGGGGGUUGGAAAGUUUCGGCGGUUGGGGAUGGACUCGCGGCUUAUCAGCUUGUUGGUGGGGUAGUGGCUUACCAAGGGUUUGACGGGUAGCCGGCCUGUGAGGGUUAACGGCGAAAUUGGGAAUGAGAGAGGGCCCAGAAUGCAACGGGAGGCAGCAGUGGGGAAUAUUGCAAAAUGGGCGGAAGCCUGAUGCAGCAAAGCCGGGUGGGGGAUGACGGCCUUCGGGUUGUAAAAAGAUUUCGCCUGUGACGAAGCGUGAGUGACGGUAAUGGGUAAAGAAGCACCGGCUAACUACGUG